UACGGGGGGGGCGAGCGUUGUUCGGAAUUACUGGGCGUAAAGGGUUCGUAGGUGGCCAACUAAGUCAGACGUGAAAUCCCUCAGCUUAACUGGGGAACUGCGUCUGAUACUGAUUGGCUCGAGUGCAGGAGAGGAAUGCGGAAUUCCAGGUGUAGCGGUGAAAUGCGUAGAUAUCUGGAGGAACACCGGUGGUGAAGGCUGCAUUCUGGACUGCAACUGACACUGAAGAACGAAAGCCAGGGGAGCAAACGGG
rnacentral:rRNA from 1 species